CCAUAAAAACGCAAAGUGUCAAACGAAAAUCCCAAGCCCAAAUUUCGGUGCGUUUUUAAUUUAAUUCGCUGCGUUAUCGGGCUCAAAAAUCCCGCAGAAAUAUACGUAAAAUCAGUGCUAGACACGGGAAAAUAUUCAGUGAGACGUGGUGCCUCCGAGUGCUCGUUUUAUUUGGUUUUCCUUUUUUUUGCGGUGCGCUUUUUUUCAGCGGGGUUGUUGUGUUUCGACCCCCCGUGGAACGGUGAAUCGUGGAAAAAGGCAUGUGAAUAAGUAACUAACUGGGUCGUGCUAUUCUUUGGUGGAUAAUUUUGUAUCCGUACAAAACGGCAGAAAGAAGAAUCAGCAAAAUUAGAUCUUGGCGCGAGAACUGUUAACCCUUGAUAACAAGGCGGAGGGUGCCCUAUCGAGGAGUUUUUUUUUCUCCUCGCGUUUGUGUGCGUGAAACAGCGCGUCACUGCUCGACGGAGUCGCUUGGAAACGGUAUCGAGCGCUUGGGCAAAGGCAGCCAGCGAAACAUUCCGCCAAGCCACCGCAAGCGGCCAACUCUUCAUAAACAAAGUGCGUCACUCGUUUGCAAAUAUCCCCUGCAACCCUCUCUCCCCGUUCGGUCCCGUGAAGGUGAGUACGGAUGGGCACACCCGCGAAUCGGACGCUGACCAAGGGCCGGGUCUUCAGCAGCAGCAGCAGCAGCAGUAGCAGCCGGGAGCUAGCCCAAGCGACGCGGUCCGAGAUGCCACGGCUGAAAAAGCCUUCCGAGAGUAUGGGGUCCGCAUCGAAGCAAGCCCAGGAGACGCUUACGUCCGGGCGGGCGCGUCGAACGAUCAAACCGAACCCAAAGUACGUGAACGAUGAGAUGAUAGCGGCCCAGGCGAAGGAAGCGUUCGAAGAAAGUGGAAUGAGCGACGAAGAGUACGACGAGCUGAACGAGGAAGAGGAACAACGCUCUCCACCAUCGACCCCACGUUCCGAAGGGCCCAAGCGCCGUGGUAGACCACCGAAGGCAAAGGGUCUGAUCGCUGCCCCACGUACGGAACCGGCCAAGAGCAAUCUGCGCAAGGAGCUGUUGAAACGUACCGACCUCCGGUCAUUUGGUAUAAGUCAAACACGCCAACACAGUUCACCGCAGCUACGGGACACGGCCCGCCGACUGGACAUGACGGAUUCGAUCGAUACAGAUUCAGCCGAUCAGGAUGAUUUGGGAAUGGAAGGCCUGGAGGAGAGCACUGGCCGCAAAGUGCUCAAUUCCGGUGCCGGUGGCAGCUUGAGGACGUUGCGAAGCACGGCCGAUGGUACGACCGAGGAUGACGAAGGGGAGGACGAUGAGGAUAUGCUGAACGAGGGCGACCAGCAACAGGGCACGGGGGCCGCCGGGAAGCGUCCAGUCGGUCGUCCACGCAAGAACCCGCUCGUCAAGAAGCAAGUGUCCCCCUUUGCCGCCAAAGUGCUGCUACCGGGCGUGAAGCAAACGUUGGGCGGUGGUGUGACCGUAAUGAAACGGAAAGCACCACCACCGACCGAUUCCGAGGACGACGGCAGUAAGCAAGGGUCCAAGAUGGUGCGCCGUUCGUACCAGAAGGGGGGUAGUACGGUGACGAAGGAAGUGGAAACGGAUACCGACGAUGAUGGCGAAAGGGAAGACGAUGAUAGCCAGCGGCAGCGAGCCCGUUCCUAUCCGACACUGGCUCGUCGCCCGGGAUCCAACACGCAACAGGGUGCAGGGAAGGUGUCGGAAUCGAAGGAAAACUCUCCAUCACAGAUGAUCACGAUCGUGAACGUGCACGAUAUCAUGAAGAAGAAAUCGAAGAGCACGGCCGAUGUGCGUCAGCGGAAGGUUCAGGAGGACGAAGAUUCGGAAGACGAUCGGUCCGAGUUGGAGGAAGCGGGCGAUGAUCAGCGGAACGAGGGCAAAACGAACAACAAACUGGUGGCCAGCAUCCUGGAGCGUAAACGGGCGAUUCCAGUGCAAGCGGAAAUGACGCCCGGCCGGACACCGAGGGAACGGCACGUAGCGCUGAUGAAGAAGCGCGCCGAGGACAUCCGGCAAAACCAAAGCAACAGCGGUGCCAGCGAGGUCGAUGUGGAGGAUGUGCUGCAGAAAAACAUCGUCACGGCCGGGGGCGCGAACAAGACGGUCGUACGGAUGCAAUCGGUAACGUCACCGGGCGGACGGCCCCGAGGUCGUCCACCAAACUCGGCCAAAGCCAAGGAGAACUUUGGCAAGGAUGGUGAUGGUGGUGCAGCGUUGGAUGGAGACACCGGUGGCGCAGGCCACAAAACGAACAACGUUCUGUACAAACUCGGUCCGAACGGUCGGUAUACGAUGGCCAGCGGUGGUGGAGGAACGCCACUGAAGCGUAGCAAUCAGCCACCACGCAUACUGAACGCCACGAUGAAGCUGGGUCAGGAUCGACCACAGUCGAAGCUUUCGGCCACCGCCACCAACAACCACUAUUCGAUCGAUCUCACCGAUCCGGACAACAAUGUGCUGUUGGUUUCGUCGAACGAAAAUUCGCCCACCAAGCGUCCCAUUGGCUCGCCCUCUGUCACCUCCGGUGGUAAGGCCAUUCUGGGAAGGUCAACGCCGGGUGCGGCAGCUGCAACAAUCCCAUCGGCUACGGCGGCUUCUGCAUCAUCCGCUCGGCUACCGCAACGACUUCCACAAUCACAAACCACACAGCAACAGACGGCGAUGGGGCAACAAAAGCUAACGGCCGCUGGACGUGCGGUGGAUGUUAGGAAAAAGCGUAUCACGUGUUACGAAACGUGGAACGUCAUUAACUGCAAGAACCUGUUAACAGUGCCCAAGAAACCCACCAUGAGCAUGUCGAUGAUCGCGCUAGGGAAUGUGGCGGACUCGAUUCGUCUACCGUCCGACGUGUGGUCGCUACGGACGGUGCUGGAGAAGCGCAAGACGGUGGUAAAGCCGGGUGAGGAAACGUUCUGCGGUGCCACCCAGGAUAAUGUCGUCCCGGAGGACGAGAAGCACAACUACGAACCGACCCGGAUCAUGUUCCGCCGCAAGGCUUCGGUUCCCGGGCGGUUCAAUGUGCAGUACGAUCGGACAGUUAUCUUCCGGAACGAUACGUACGUGAUCAACGUAGAGGGCCACAGUUGCCGGUUGGUGGGUGCUCCGGUGACGAUCGCGACCCCAGCCGAAAUCGAAACACUGCUGACGAUCGUCGAUUUUAUCAACACGGACAACAGUUGCGUGGAGAUGCAAGGGCGCCCGAUCAGUACAGUGGAUUUGACCGGGUCCAAGCGGGCGACCGAAGUCGCCACCUAAUUUUCCUCCCUCCCAGAUCACACGACACACGAAACACAGCGUAGCCGCCAAGGGUGCCGUUUACUUUGAGUUGUAAAAUGUAAUAUCAGAAACCAUGCGCCGAACUUUGUUCGUGUCUUGUUCGCCUGUGCUCUGCUGUGUUGAGUGUUUUAGUUUUAUGUUAUAAAUUCUUCCCGCAAUUCAUCUGCAUUGUUUAGUAGAAAAACAAAAGGAUGGAUGGAGCAUUAGGGGGUGCAGAAGGUAGUAGUAAUAAGUCCGAUUUCUUAAAAAAAAUAUUCUCCAACCCGUUACAAAAGCGCACGUUAGAUUAAAACUUUGUUUGCACGAGGAAUAGAACGUUAAAGGAACCGAAUGAAAUGGAAAUCUUGUUGAACCAGGCGCGCCCUAGGUACAAAGGACUCAUUGUACAUUGUCGUGCGACCCGAAAUCCAACAUACAAUAGGCUACAUUCAAUAGAUGAUUUGUGUUAAGGGGACACUUUAUUGCUGCUGCAUUCUUUGAAAAUUGAAAUAAUUGUAAUAAAAUGCUACUGAAAACCACUGA